AUUGAACGCUGGCGGCAUGCUUUACACAUGCAAGUCGAACGGUAACAGGCCUUCGGGUGCUGACGAGUGGCGAACGGGUGAGUAAUGCAUCGGAACGUGCCCAAUCGUGGGGGAUAACGUAGCGAAAGUUACGCUAAUACCGCAUAAGCCCUGAGGGGGAAAGUGGGGGACCGCAAAGGCCUCACGCGGAAUGGAGCGGCCGAUGUCAGAUUAGCUAGUUGGUGGGGUAAAGCUCACCAAGGCGACGAUCUGUAGCGGGUCUGAGAGGAUGAUCCGCCACACUGGGACUGAGACACGGCCCAGACUCCUACGGGAGGCAGCAGUGGGGAAUUUUGGACAAUGGGCGCAAGCCUGAUCCAGCCAUGCCGCGUGCGGGACGAAGGCCUUCGGGUU
rnacentral:rRNA from 1 species